UACGUAGGGGGCUAGCGUUGUCCGGAAUCAUUGGGCGUAAAGCGCGCGUAGGCGGCCCGGUAAGUCCGCUGUGAAAGUCAAAGGCUCAACCUUUGAAUGUCAGCGGAUACUGCCAGGCUAGAGUCCGGAAGAGGCGAGUGGAACUCCUGGUGUAGCGGUGGAAUGCGCAGAUAUCAGGAAGAACACCAACGGCGAAGGCAGCUCGCUGGGACGGAACUGACGCUGAGGCGCGAAAGCGUGGGGGAGCGAACAGG
rnacentral:rRNA from 1 species